rnacentral:misc_RNA from 1 species
GAUGAAGAACGUAGCGAAAUGCGAUAACUAAUGUGAAUUGCAGAAUUCAGUGAAUCAUCGAGUCUUUGAACGCACAUUGCGCCCCCUGGUAUUCCGGGGGGCAUGCCUGUCCGAGCGUCAUUGCUGCCCUCAAGCACGGCUUGUGUGUUGGGCUCCGUCCCCCCGGGGACGGGUCCGAAAGGCAGCGGCGGCACCGAGUCCGGUCCUCGAGCGUAUGGGGCUUUGUCACCCGCUCUGUAGGCCCGGCCGGUGCCAGCCGACAACCAAUCAUCCUUUUUUCAGGUUGACCUCGGAUCAGGUAGGGAUACCCGCUGAACUUAAGCAUAUCAAUAAGCGGAGGA